rnacentral:rRNA from 1 species
AUUGAACGCUGGCGGCAGGCCUUACACAUGCAAGUCGAACGGCAGCGGGGAGAAGCUUGCUUUUCCUGCCGGCGAGUGGCGAACGGGUGAGUAAUACAUCGGAACGUGCCCUGUAGUGGGGGAUAACUAGUCGAAAGAUUAGCUAAUACCGCAUACGACCUGAGGGUGAAAGUGGGGGACCGCAAGGCCUCAUGCUAUAGGAGCGGCCGAUGUCUGAUUAGCUAGUUGGUGGGGUAAAGGCCUACCAAGGCGACGAUCAGUAGCUGGUCUGAGAGGACGAUCAGCCACACUGGGACUGAGACACGGCCCAGACUCCUACGGGAGGCAGCAGUGGGGAAUUUUGGACAAUGGGCGAAAGCCUGAUCCAGCAAUGCCGCGUGUGUGAAGAAGGCCUUCGGGUUGUAAAGCACUUUUGUCCGGAAAGAAAUGGCUCUGGUUAAUACCUGGGGUCGAUGACGGUACCGGAAGAAUAAGGACCGGCUAACUACGUGCCAGCAGCCGCCGUAA